CGGUGGUGGCCGCGGGUUUGGGCUGCCGCGGGACGCUGUGAACGGCAGCCCGCGGCCGCGAAGGUUCCCCCACGUAUUUCAUGGAUAUUCUCACACUUGUUUUGAUUUGCAAACUCUUUCCAAAGAUUUUCCGGAAGGUUUAAAGAGGCGCAUGAGGUGGAAUGCGGGGAUGGCGUGCUCCUGGCGGUGGAACGGGUUACCUAGUGCAGCCUCACACCUCCAAUCUGUUCCGAACCGCCGCUCUGCAUACUGAUGGCGGGCGGCAGCCAGGGCACGUGACGAGCGGUGACUCGUGGGCCCUUUAAAGUGACGGAAUGUGUAGCAUUAGUUCUUGUUAAGGUCAAUACGGAUGCCCAGGACCUGCAGGGGCGCCGCCGCAGUGGUCGAGUGGUCAGGGUGGGGGCGUGGCGAGUCCGAGGACCUAAGGUUUGAGUCCCACCAAGGACGCUGACAAGUUUCAACCAUCGCCGAGUGGUGGAAGAGUACCCACAUGCUGCCCGAACCUUCACUCAACCCUGACUUCGGCGACUUCGUUCAAGUGGAGCACCGGGGGCAGCAUGGGCCAGGGAAGAGGCAGGCACCACAGCAGCCACUAGGAGUAAAAUUCGCCUGUGCCACUACUGGGCUGGAGUCAUCCAAUAAAGCUUACGGUGCCAUCGGCAGC